AGAACUUAGCAGAGAUGCUUUGGUGCCUUCGGGAACUCUGAGACAGGUGCUGCAUGGCUGUCGUCAGCUCGUGUUGUGAAAUGUUGGGUUAAGUCCCGCAACGAGCGCAACCCUUAUCCUUUGUUGCCAGCGCGUGAUGGCGGGAACUCAAAGGAGACUGCCGGUGAUAAACCGGAGGAAGGUGGGGAUGACGUCAAGUCAUCAUGGCCCUUACGAGUAGGGCUACACACGUGCUACAAUGGCGUAUACAAAGGGAAGCGACCCCGCGAGGGCAAGCGGAACUCAUAAAGUACGUCGUAGUCCGGAUUGGAGUCUGCAACUCGACUCCAUGAAGUCGGAAUCGCUAGUAAUCGUAGAUCAGAAUGCUACGGUGAAUACGUUCCCGGGCCUUGUACACACCGCCCGUCACACCAUGGGAGUGGGUUGCAAAAGAAGUAGGUAGCUUAACCUCCGGGAGGGCGCUUACCACUUUGUGAUUCAUGACUGGGGUGAAGUCGUAACAAGGUAACCGUAGGGGAACCUGCGGUUGGAUCACCUCCUUACCU
rnacentral:rRNA from 1 species